GGAAUUUUCCGCAAUGGGCGAAAGCCUGACGGAGCAACGCCGCGUGAGGGAUGAAGGCCUCUGGGCUGUAAACCUCUUUUAUCAAGGAAGAAGAUCUGACGGUACUUGAUGAAUAGGCCACGGCUAAUUCCGUGCCAGCAGCCGCGGUAAUACGGGAGUGGCAAGCGUUAUCCGGAAUUAUUGGGCGUAAAGCGUCCGCAGGCGGUCUGUCAAGUCUGCUGUUAAAGCGUGGAGCUUAACUCCAUUUCGGCAGUGGAAACUGACAGACUAGAGUGUGGUAGGGGCAGAGGGAAUUCCCGGUGUAGCGGUGAAAUGCGUAGAUAUCGGGAAGAACACCAGUGGCGAAGGCGCUCUGCUGGGCCAUAACUGACGCUCAUGGACGAAAGCCAGGGGAGCGAAAGGGAUUAGAUACCCCAGUAGUC
rnacentral:rRNA from 1 species